UACAGAGUUGCCGAGCGUUAGGCGGAAUCACUGGGCUUAAAGCGCGCGUAGGCGGACGUUUAAGUGUCUUGUGAAAUCCCACGGCUCAACCGUGGAACUGCUGGGCAUACUGGACGUCUCGAGGCACUCAGGGGCGAGCGGAACAAGUGGUGGAGCGGUGAAAUGCGUAGAUAUCACUUGGAACGCCAAUGGUGAAGACAGCUCGCUGGGGGUGUCCUGACGCUGAGGCGCGAAAGCCAGGGGAGCGAACGGG
rnacentral:rRNA from 1 species